AGCGGGGUACGCAACUGGCGAUAGGCGCAGCCGCUUCACGCACCGCUGCCGCUGACGUGGAAACCAGCAGAAGGCCCGAGAAGGACCACCUUCUGUGAACCACCGGGGAGCGUACCGCCCAGCCUCCAUGCGCACGCGGGAUCUGGAGUGUUCCGCCGUUCGCCUGGGCAGCCCUU
rnacentral:ncRNA from 1 species